UACGGAGGGUGCGAGCGUUGUCCGGAAUCACUGGGCGUAAAGGGCGCGUAGGUGGCCCGACAAGUCAACGGUGGAAGCUCGAUGCUCAACAUCGAGUCGGCCGUCGAUACUGUCAGGCUGGAGCACUGUAGAGGCUCAUGGAAUUCCGGGUGUAGCGGUGGAAUGCGUAGAGAUCCGGAAGAACACCGGUGGCGAAGGCGGUGAGCUGGGCAGUAGCUGACACUGAGGCGCGACAGCGUGGGGAGCAAACAGG
rnacentral:rRNA from 1 species